UCCAAGAGCAACAAGAAAUGCAAAUUGUAAUGAAACUGAUAGUAUUUGUGUGUACAAAACUACAUACUGCCCUGUGUUUUUACUAAUUGCGUUUGUCUUUGAGAUACUACUGAAGGUCAGGUACGAGUUGAAAUGCACAAAUACUAAUUAGAGAAUAAUGUGAAUACAGUUAGGAAUCCUGUUGGUACGCUGCUUGUGUUGUAAAUAGCGCUCCAUUCUUUUUCAAAAGCAAGUUCAGCUUUAAUCACUGAACUAAAGAAACAGUCAACAUUUUUUUUGAGUUAAUCUGUUGUGCGGUUUCCUCUUAACUCUAAUACCACUGCACUCAGUAUUAAGGUACAUUAUUAAUAACUACACACGUUUUUAUUUAAAGAAAACACUUUUAACAACCUAUGGUACUUUUAAGUAAAUAUUGCCUCUGGUUCUAAUUCUCACUAACUUGUUUUGCUCUUCUAAAAGUCUAAAUUUUUCGUCUGAGUUUUUAUUCUGGGGAUCAUAUAACCCCAGUCUCUACUUGACCCUAUUUGAAGGUGCUUAGUGUUGAAUUGCCUACAGAAACCGUUUCUAAUUUAGAUGGCUAGCAAAAAUUGGCAUAAAUGUUAGUCUAUGCUUCUAUGAAGUAAUUAUCCAGUCAACUAAAUGAUUCUCAUGUAAGGUACACCUUUUAUUUUACUAAUAAAAUGCGUUCAUGGUUUCUAUACUUUGUAGAAGUGUUUUGCAAAUGUUUAAAAUAAUGAAUCCUUGGAGUUCCUGCCGUGGCAUGGCACAGUGUGUUAUGAAUCCAACUGCAGUAGCUCUGGUCCCUGCAGAGGUACAGGUUCCAUCCCCUGCCUGGCGCAGUGGGUUAAAGGAUCCUGAAUUGUGGCAGCUGCGGCUCAAUUCAAUCCCUGGCCCGGGAACUUAACUUGUGCUACAGGUCUGGCCAUAAAAAAGAAAAAGAAAAGAAAAUACUGACUCCUUUCAGUUUUCCAGCAUCUCCUUGAAUCUAUUCAAGACAUAGAGUGAAGUCAUUGAAAAGCUGGAUAGUAAAUCUAUCCAGUUCAUAGCACUUUAUAAAAAAAAAGAGGUGAGUCUAUUUCUAUAUUUAAAUGCUACUGGCUAUUGAAUCCCUUCAUAUAUAAAUGAAAAAAUAUCGGUCAUUAAAAUUAAAGACUUGUUUAAGUGUGUUUCCUAAUUAUAUUUCACUCAAAUAUGUUAGGGUAAAUAUCUUUAGAGUUAUUAAAGAUAUUAAUUUUAACUCACAAGCACAUUAAAUUUGCUUGUCACAAGAUUCAAAACAACUUGUGGGACACCGGUUCCAAAAGUCCUUAUCCCUUCGUAUUUUUGGCUUCAUAGUUGCAGAAACAGACAUCCUGUAGCCUAAAGAGACCAUGGAGUGAUGUAACAGUUGUGAAGAAUGAAUGAACCAGAAUGAAUGAACCAGUACAUGAAUUGCACAGAGCUGCAGUGUUUAGAGAAUUCUUAAAUCUUUAAUUCACCAAGUCAGAGAAAUUUGUAACACAUUUGUCACACCUCUAGAGAACAUUUAACUAUGUUUAAAGACUGAUGAAAAGCAGUCAGGUAAAACAGAUAAACUAUUGCCCAUUUUUGUGUCCUUUUGUUUUAGGAUUGUGGAAGUGGGCUCUGUACGUUUGAGAAGCACUUUUUUUUAAUCCACACAUGUGGGUGAAAACAAUCUAAUUUUGUAUAAAUUAAAAAUCAAUUCCUUGGAGGUGAAAAGUAAUCAUUUGUUCUAAAUCAUAUACAUGUUAUCUGCAUCUAGUGCAGAAUAUAACUUCUCACUGAGGAGUCUUACAUUUCGUGGACUUAACGAAGCUGAAGUGAACCAUGAAAACCCUUCAGAACCACCAGCAUUAGUCUCCUAAAUGUGUGUACUAGUAACUAAUUGCACAAAAUCUAUAAUGUGGUCAAUCUUUAAAGACUGAGUCAGUAUUUCACUUGCUUUUCACACUAAAGAUUUUAACUUUUCUGAUAAAAUAUACUUUAAAACUUCAAAAAUCACUCCUGAUGGAGAACUACUAGCAUUUCUUGUCACAAUGUGCUUGUGUACAUUCGAUAAGUUUGGCUUUUUCUGCUACUUAACCCUCCAUUCCUCUUAUUUUUCAGUUUCCAAAUUGAGAUUAUAAAAAGCAAAUAUUGUGUGUAACUUGACAUUUGUGGAGCUGUGCCUACGAUGAAUGGAAAUAAUACACAUCAGUUACUCAGAUGCCUGUUGAUGUGACACCGUGGUUUUCUCACAGGUGCCCUGGAAACUAAGGAAUUUGUCAGCACUUUCUUAACUUUUAUGGUGUAUAAAGUACAGCUAGCUUAUAAAACUUGAAACUCUGGUACUAUUUUAUUCAUGCCUGAAAUCUUGGAGUCCAGGAUGCCUUCUCUCUUAUUUUUCAAACAAGUGAAACUUUGGGAUUUUAGAAUGUAAAAUUUGUCAAGUUUGUUUUGUCAAAAUAAAAGGUCACACUAGAUUUUUCCUGUGAAUUGCCUCAAUCUCUAUAGUCCUUUAUAUUUUAACCUGGAAGGGGUUUUACAUUUCACACAGUGCUUUUUGAAGUGUCCAUCUAUUUUGAUCCCUUUCUAUCCCUUAACACCCCUUGGCUGGAUAGCCCCAAUUUACAGAUAGGAAAUGAAGGUUAAUGCAGUUCAAGGUCACACAAAUGGCAGUAAGAUCUCAAGAUUCAGUGCUUUUCCACAACAUUGUCUUUUCUGCACUUUGAAUUGCCAAAUUCUGGCAAAGCUACUGUAGUGGUGCAUCCGAGGUGGAGGAACUAGCUUUGGGGAGGUUCCUCUCCCACUACAUUAAAAAAAAAAAAAAAGCUCUGUUUGCAUGCAUAAACCCUCCCUUCCCCGGCUGGAGCUUAAGAAAGACGGGAAUGCCUUUUUCCAUUUUCUUCUGUAGCUGUCAAGUGUUGGACAUCAAUGAAUUCCUUUCCUCCUCAAGCCUGCUUUUGAUACUUGUCUUAACAAAUUCAGAUGGCAAAGCGACACGGGAACCCCCGAGGUGACUGUCCUCCACUGCUUCCUCAAGGAAGACCCGCCAGGACUCCUGCCCAGCCUUUUGUUGUUGCUGUUGAUUUACAACUUCUAACAAUAACUAAAUCGAGGUUCUGUUUCCGGAAUGACUUGUUAGAAGGAUGUAUCUCAAGAGGAUUCAUCAAGGAAUCCACUUGAAGGUAUCUUAGUAAUUUUUCCUAGUGAAAGAACAUUUUUUGUUUUGCGAAACAGAUGGUGUUUUUAGACUUUCUUAUAAGUUAAUCCUAAAAGCAGGUUCUCUGGGAAUUUGCUGCAAACUAUUGUUCUUUCAAUGAUGAGUCGGUUUUCAUGAGAUACUGGUAGAGGGCUUGAUGAUGAACUUGUUUUUCCAGACAUGGCAGUAGUGUUGAUUUGGUGAUGGCCACUCUCCGAUUUUUUUCCUCUGAAGAACAGUGCUUUCAUGUUACCAAACCUUUUUCUCCUUAAUCUUCUCUUUAAAUGUCCGUUUUAAAAAAUAAAAAUAAUUAAAAAUUGAUGC
rnacentral:lncRNA from 1 species